UGCAACUUCAAGGCUUCAAUCAGGUUUCAUUAUCUUCUCCUUAUAUAACGAUUUCUUGUUUUUGUUUCUUCUACAUUCUACCCUAGCUCCAGAGCAACUUGCUUGGUGUGGAAUGGACAGUGUAUUGCUGUAUUGGGAUGAUAUACUUCUGAUGGUGGGCCCUUAUGGAGAUCCAGUUCGCUAUCUUGAUGAUGAACCCAUUAUCCUUAUCCCAGAGUGUGAUCGAGCUAGGAUAUUGUCUAACUUAAACAUGGAGUUUCUUCAACAGGAGGAAUUUCCUCAUCCUCUAUCCCGUGUCAAGCAACCAGCUGGAUAUAGAGUAAGUUCAAUCAUUAAUAUUAUUAGUUCUUUUUGUUUCUAUUACAUAAUUAACUUUUGUAUUUUACAUGUGUUGUUGCAGUUGUCAUAUCAGAUAGAUAGUUGACUCUUUAAUUUGGCUUGGAAUUCGAGACAUGAUAACUGAUGUUAGGAAGAAAAAGUUGAAUCUGUGACCUGUCACGUAUUUUAGUGGUUCUCAAGGCUCUGAGACUGUUAUUCCACAUGGAUACAUAUGGAGUCCUCAUCUUGUUCCUAAACCAAAAGAUUGGGGACCUAAAAUUUAUGUGGUUCGAUUUUGUUUCCUUGAUCUCGCAUCAAACUACAAACCCCCUGAAGAACUUGUAUGAUGGCUUGAAGCUGGCCCAAAGGCUAUCUACAUUAGAUUUGGUAGCCUUCCAGUUCAAGAGCCUGAGAAAAUAACACAGACAAUCAUUAAAGCCCUAGAAAUAUCAGGACAAAGGGGCAUCAUCAACAAAGGAUGGGGUGGUCUUGGUAUCUGAAACUUUUCGGAGAAGGUCUGGGAUCAAGCACCAUUGGUUAACUACAAAAGCUUGAACAACAGCUAGAGAGGAGUGUAUCCAUCAUUUGUGCUUGAAAGAUGCAAGUAUAUAAUGAACAAAUUCAAGAACUACAAGCAAAGGAACAAUACAUAAAUACAAUUAUAUAAUGAACAAAUUCUAUUUUUUGUUCAUAUUUGUUCUCUAGUACAUUCUACCUUGUAGAAGACUGUUUAAUAAUCAUUUCUUCUAAUUUCAAACCAAAAAAAUGACACAAGUUAUUUAUUUUCGGAUUCUUCCAACUUCUUAUGAAACAGCUUCCUUAGAAGGCAAUGAUGGAAUCGCUCAUCUCUCUGUGACUGUAAUGGCCCCACAAAUAUU